rnacentral:rRNA from 1 species
GACGAACGCUGGCGGCGUGCUUAACACAUGCAAGUCGAACGGAAAGGCCCUGCUUUUGUGGGGUGCUCGAGUGGCGAACGGGUGAGUAACACGUGAGUAACCUGCCCUUGACUUUGGGAUAACUUCAGGAAACUGGGGCUAAUACCGGAUAGGAGCUCCUGCUGCAUGGUGGGGGUUGGAAAGUUUCGGCGGUUGGUGAUGGACUCGCGGCUUAUCAGCUUGUUGGCGGGGUAGUGGCUUACCAAGGCUUUGACGGGUAGCCGGCCUGAGAGGGUGACCGGCCACAUUGGGACUGAGAUACGGCCCAGACUCCUACGGGAGGCAGCAGUGGGGAAUAUUGCACAAUGGGCGGAAGCCUGAUGCAGCAACGCCGCGUGCGGGAUGACGGCCUUCGGGUUGUAAACCGCUUUCGCCUGUGACGAAGCGUGAGUGACGGUAAUGGGUAAAGAAGCACCGGCUAACUACGUG